CAGCCGCCACGGGAAUACAGAGGGUGCGAGCGUUAAUCGGAUUUACUGGGCGUAAAGCGUGCGUAGGCGGCUUUUUAAGUCGGAUGUGAAAUCCCUGAGCUUAACUUAGGAAUUGCAUUCGAUACUGGGAAGCUAGAGUAUGGGAGAGGAUGGUAGAAUUCCAGGUGUAGCGGUGAAAUGCGUAGAGAUCUGGAGGAAUACCGAUGGCGAAGGCAGCCAUCUGGCCUAAUACUGACGCUGAGGUACGAAAGCAUGGGGGGCAAACAGGAUUAGAUACCCCCGUAGUCCCUGUCUCUUAUAC
rnacentral:rRNA from 1 species